rnacentral:rRNA from 1 species
UACGUAGGUGACAAGCGUUGUCCGGAUUUACUGGGCGUAAAGAGCGCGCAGGCGGUCGAUCAAGUCGAGUGUGAAAGCCCCCGGCUCAACUGGGGAGGGUCAUUCGAUACUGAUCGACUCGAAGGCAGGAGAGGGUAGUGGAAUUCCCGGUGUAGUGGUGAAAUGCGUAGAGAUCGGGAGGAACACCCGUGGCGAAGGCGGCCUGCUGGGCCGAUCCUGACGCUGAGGCGCGAAGGCGUGGGGAGCGAACGGG